UUAUGACCAUAUCACGUUGAAACACCGGUUCUUGUACGAUCACCAAAGUUAAGAAACGUCGAAUCUGGUCAGUACCAAGAUGGGUGACUGCUUGGGAACACCAGGGGCUGUUA